GUGCACGCUGGCGGUAGGCCUAACCCCUGCCAGUCGAACGGCAGCACCGUAAGAGCUUGCUCUUACGGGUGGCGAGUGGCGGACGGGUGAGGAAUACAUCGGAAUCUACUUUUUCGUGGGGGAUAACGUAGGGAAACUUACGCUAAUACCGCAUACGACCUACGGGUGAAAGCAGGGGAUCUUCGGACCUUGCGCGAUUGAAUGAGCCGAUGUCGGAUUAGCUAGUUGGCGGGGUAAAGGCCCACCAAGGCGACGAUCCGUAGCUGGUCUGAGAGGAUGAUCAGCCACACUGGAACUGAGACACGGUCCAGACUCCUACGGGAGGCAGCAGUGGGGAAUAUUGGACAAUGGGCGCAAGCCUGAUCCAGCCAUACCGCGUGGGUGAAGAAGGCCUUCGGGUUGUAAAGCCCUUUUGUUGGGAAAGAAAAGCAGCAGGUUAAUACCCCGCUGUUCUGACGGUACCCAAAGAAUAAGCACCGGCUAACUUCGUG
rnacentral:rRNA from 1 species